ACAUGUUGAACGGGUUCGACCCUCAGGUCCUAGCUCAAGCACUGAAGAUCGACGUUAGGUUGGCUCAGGAGCUUCAGAACAAACAAGACAACAGAGGAAACAUUGUUCGUGUUAGGGGACCUUUCCAGGUUGCUAGGCCACCUCUAAGACAGUCCUACGAGAGCGAGAAGUGGAGACACCCACGUGGCCCACCACAAAGCCCACAAGACAACGGCUUGGAGGAGACUAUCUGCAGCAUGAGGACACACGAGAACAUUGACGACCCA
rnacentral:lncRNA from 1 species